rnacentral:tmRNA from 1 species
GGGGCCGAUCUGGAUUCGACAGCGGCUUCGUGUGGUGUGUGCGCAUGCCGGGCGAUGAGGACAGGCCCGUACAAAACGAUCCUUGCGCCAUAACUGGCGAAGUAGACUACGCUCUCGCGGCCUAAUAGCCUCAGGCUAUCGGCCUUAUUCACGUGAACAACAGUAGCGUGAACGAGUGCCCCUCGGUGAGGCCCGCCUUCCUCCUUGCCGGCCCAGGGGUAUCAUCAUGGAAGGCUGGUCGGCCCGGUGGUCCGGAGGGUCGGCGAGAAACAGGACCUAAGCCCGCGCUAGGGUGCCUUUCCCCAGGCACGGGUCGAAAAUCAAUGAACAGGCUAAGCAUGUAGGGCGCCCGCUUCACGGUCGUUUGGACGAGGGUUCGAUCCCCUCCGGCUCCACAG